UGGGGAAUAUUGCGCAAUGGGGGGAACCCUGACGCAGCCAUGCCGCGUGAAUGAAGAAGGCCUUAGGGUUGUAAAGUUCUUUCGGUAUUGAGGAAGGUUGAUGUGUUAAUAGCACAUCAAAUUGACGUUAGAUACAGAAGAAGCACCGGCUAACUCCGUGCCAGCAGCCGCGGUAAUACGGAGGGUGCGAGCGUUAAUCGGAAUAACUGGGCGUAAAGGGCACGCAGGCGGUUAUUUAAGUGAGGUGUGAAAGCCCUGGGCUUAACCUGGGAAUUGCAUUUCAGACUGGGUAACUAGAGUACUUUAGGGAGGGGUAGAAUUCCACGUGUAGCGGUGAAAUGCGUAGAGAUGUGGAGGAAUACCGAAGGCGAAGGCAGCCCCUUGGGAAUGUACUGACGCUCAUGUGCGAAAGCGUGGGGAGCAAACAGGAUUAGAUACCCUGGUAGUCCACGCUGUAAACGCUGUCGAUUUGGGGGUUGGGGUUUAACUCUGGCGCCCGUAGCUAACGUGAUAAAUCGACCGCCUGGGGAGUACGGCCGCAAGGUUA
rnacentral:rRNA from 1 species